GAUCACUUGGACUAUUCCGCAGCACCCCUCUCACAUUGGUACAUCCCCCCAGGUAUUCAUUGUCUUCUACAGUAGAGCGGGACAUUUGAUUUACUCUCAGCGGAAUUGACCGGAGAAGGCAUCAGUUCAUGUACUGCACUGGCCUGCACCACGAUUAGUAUAAGGCACAUUUCACGAAGCAGAACGCAGUCUUCAGAGAUAUCCACGUGAACGCUGUGAUACGUCUGACCUUCAGUCCGAAGAAGAAACCCAGACCAGUCUUAAAAGAAAGCACAAACCAAAUCCCCUGUACACAUAUACGGACUCAGAGGAUGAGCAGCCUACAAAAAAACGGUUUCCCCAGGCCCCUUGAGUGAAAAUACCAGCCCUCAUCACUCCAGUCUGCCCCCCAGCCCACUGAUAGCAACCAUCAUAAUGCCACACCCAGCUUCCGGCACCUUUCGCCACUCCGGCACAAACCGACACAGCUUUGCGAUCUCGCCAGCAUGCAGUCUGAUGUCUUCCCUAUAGAUGAUUCCAGAGACUCUGUGAGGCCACUAUUACAAGGUGAGACGCUUUGCGUUGAUUGGUGCUGCUGGACCACACUGGAGGUGCGAGUCCGCCGUGUAAUGGUUUAUGCCAUUACAAAGGAGCUGGCCUCUGUACUCAACUGGGCAGGGGAAAAAAAACCAAGGACCAGACAAAGCAAAAAAGGGCAUUUAAAGAGACAGCGCUGUGCAGAUGCAUAUUUGGUAAGUUUUACUGUUUA
ensembl:lncRNA